UACAGAGACUGCAAGCGUUAUUCGGAUUCACUGGGCGUAAAGGGUGCGCAGGCGGUCGGGUGUGUCAGAUGUGAAAUCCCGAGGCUCAACCUCGGAACUGCGUCUGAAACUACUCGACUAGAGUACUGGAGAGGGUAACGGAAUUCACGGUGUAGCAGUGAAAUGCGUAGAUAUCGUGAGGAAGACCAGUGGCGAAGGCGGAUCUCUGGACAGUUCCUGACGCUGAGGCGCGAAGGCCAGGGGAGCAAACGGG
rnacentral:rRNA from 1 species